CUAAACUGUAAAUGAGAACAAGUAAAAGAUAUGACCAUUUUCAUUGAAGACUUGUCGCUAAUACUCCUACAUGCAUCUAUUUUAAACUAUAUAAAAUAUUUGUAUGAAGUUAGGUGAAGUCAUCUGAAUAUUAGUAGUACUAUAAUACUAAUAGAUAGGGUGGGCGGUGCUAUA
rfam:Bacillus phage AR9, complete genome.